AAAGUACAAACAGGAAGGAACAAGAGAGAACAAGACAAAAAAGCCACUCAGGCCGACCGCCAUGAAAAUUAGAAAAAAAAAUUUGUGGCCAUUCUGUAACUAAAUAUGUAUGUAUGUGUGUGUCCCAGAUACAUUGUUAGCAAUUAAGAUUGAGUGAAAGAACCUGUGUUUGCCAAUAGCCAUGAAUACCUUGGUGAAUGUGCUGGUGGGUUUUUGUCAGAAUGACACAAACUUAGACAUACACAGAAGACGGAAUCUUAAUUAAGAAAAUGCUUCCAUACGAUGGCCAUUUUCUUAAUUAGGGAUUAAUGUGGGAGGACCCAGCCUGGGUUGGCAUUGUACCUUAGGCAGGUGGUCUUGGCAUCUAUAAGAAAGCAGGCUAAGCAAGCCAGGGGAAGCAAGUCAGUAAGCAGCAUCCAUCCAUGGCCCCGGUUACUACUUGCCUGAAGGUUUCUGCCUUGAGUUCCUGUCUGGAUUUCCUUUGGUGAUAAACUGUGACCUGAGAGUUCCAGACUGUGAUAAGACAUUUCCUUCUCAAGUUACUUUUGGCCAUAGUGUUUUAGCAGGUCACUAGAAACCUGGAUCACAAUAGUGAAUUAGGCAAAAUAUAAAAUGAAAGUGAGCCGACUUGUGAAGCUAUUGUUACUCAAUAAACUAUGAAACUGUGAAAAGAUACAAAUGUGUUUCUUUCAGUUUACUCCAACCAACAGCCUCAACAGGGUUCCACCCAUUCAAAAAGGUAUCCAGGGCCCAGAGGUAUAGCUCAAAGUGCACUGCUUACAUUUUGUCCAAAGCCCAGGGGGAAGGGGAGAAAAUGAAUAUAUUGAUAUGAAUAUACUGAUCACUGGAAAGUAAUUAGAAAUCUGCACUUUUUCAAAUAGAUUAACCACAUGGUGAUAUAGAUGAUAUUUAGUCCUUGUUAAUAGAAACUAACGGUUGUUCAUGAGAGGCACUGUGUGAUUUUUCUGUUCCUUGGCAGUAAACAUUUGUGUUUAUACAAUCCAACAACUAAUGACAAAAUCAUUUUGUCAGCUAACAGGGACAGGAAUUUUGAGCGUCACUCACCUCAGAAGGAAUGCGCCCACAGCAAGCAUGGAGGCUUUCAGGGAGCCCGCUGUAAUGCAGCCAUGAUUCUUAGCCUGGCCUAGAAAACCCUGACACUUCUUAAUUUGAACGGAAUGCCUGGGCUGUUGCCAAUUGUUUUUAAGAAUGUGCUGCGGGAAGAUGGGCAUUUGGUCUCUGAAAUUCUUCCUAAGAAACUUCCAGAACCUCCCUUUCUUCCUUGGAAGAGCUGAGGUGUGCUCUCACCAGGACAAGGCCUCAUUGUUUUAGGGAUCCAGUUAAGUCACCGGGUUUGCUUCCUUUCGAUUCAUGCUGAUGUAGCGAGCGCACAGCAGCCGCUGAGUGUGUGGUAUGACUUGUUCAGGCUACCCAGCUAACCACGCAUAGCCAGCUGGGGAUGGAACAGAAAGGCCUGACGCACUCUGUUGCCUUUCCAAGUUGUGAACUCUUCCUUCUUCCUGUUGACAAACCUGGCUUACCCACAGAUAGGACCUAGCAGAGCACUGAAUACGACUUGAGAUGGAAAUGCAGCCUGGAGUCCUGUGGAACUCAUAGAGUGAGGUCUUCCCUGAACACAAGGAACCUGGGCUCUCACCAAAUGGCAGGUGCUGCCGCAGGACUGAAACUCUGAGCAGAUGUUGGAAGUGCUGGACGUUUGUGAGGAACUCGGUCCUGACGCACUAGAAGAAACAGUUCUGCACCCGGGGGCACUUCCUCGAUGCUCAGCAGAAUGCAUGCAGAGGUCAAAGCCAUCAGUAACUUGCCACUUACGUUGGCCAUAAGCCUUGCUGGAUACCAGGGGUUUCCAGCUGCCGCGCUGAGGGCUCUGUGAAGAUAGCCAAUAUUAGCUGUGAACUCUGUAAAUACUUACGAAAUGAGCAAUAACGAAGACAUAUCUGACCUAGUAACAUGACGUAGAGUGAUUGCUUUCCCCUUCAGCUCAGAGGAAAUCAGGAGCUGGAUUUCGUUUGCGCGAGGUUGUCUCCCCUUUAUUUCCUGCCUCACAAACUGGCAGCCUCUGAAGAGGAAGACUUCAGCUUUGCUGGUCUAAGUGUAACCAGGAGCCACUUCGCUUCUUCCUCUGCAGAUUUCUCUUCCGUGGAAUCAAAUAAUGAACCUCCCUCUUGGCAUUGUGGUCCUUGGUUUGGGUUGCACAGAGGGACACUUCUUGUGUGACUCUCUGGCGAAUGGAACUCUACUGUGUUGGAAGUAAAGGAACGGGGUGCGCCUGUGUUGGCAGGUGGCAGUGAGCAUGGAUGCUUUAUGGGCCUGGUGAGCCAUCAGGGAAUGCUAAGCUGUGGAGAGCAGUGAGGAGUGGAAGGACUGCAUGGAUGGGCUGCAUGCAUGGGCUGCAUGCAUGAGCUACAUACAUGAGCUGUAUGUAGCUAGCAUGGAGAGCUGCUUGGGCAAGGCUUUUGGUGGGCAGGCCCUGAACACUGUUUAGAUAGCCAAUAUUAGCCUAGAGCCAUCAGAUAAAGGACACAAAACAAUACAAGGGACACAGCUGGUUUCUGGAAGGAAAUCCUUGAGUUCUGUUUGUCCCAGUGAUACGGAACCUUUAUUCCAGGCUUAGACACACCAAGGCCUUUUAAAUCCAGAGCUGGUUGUAUUUUUGUGCUGCUGGAAUUCAAACCUAGGGUCUGGCACCCACUAGACAAAUACUUUACUAUGCUAUGACACCCCCAGUCUUUUCAAACCUUUAAAAGUACAGUCCUCUCCUUUUCUUCAAAAUGUAAAUACCUGCCCUCAGAGUUGGAGUCCGGGGACUGGAGAGAUGCUCAGUGAGUAAGAACAAUGGCUGCAAAAGCCUGGGGGCCUGAGUUUGAAUCUCUAGCACCCAGGUAAAAAGGCAAGCACGGUUGUGUGCACCAGUAAGCCAUCAAGCACGGUUGUGUGCACCAGUAAGCCAUCAAGCACGGUUGUGUGCACCAGUAAGCCAUCAUGGGGUGAGGGAAGCAUAGACAAGUUGAUGGCAGUAGGUACUUAGAAGUAACUUAGAAGUAACCAGAAUAUACAGACUGCGUGAAUAGCAGUGCAGUGUUAUUAGCUAUCAGCUGGUGUGCAAAUGUCGCGUACGUAGUACCCGAAGCAUUAUGAUAACCAACAAAGCAGUAUAGAAAAUUCCAGAGUCAUAGUUGGGGAAACUUACUUUCAACACAGCAACAGAACAAAAAUCUGCUUGCAGGUGUUAUGCCGAGUCCAUGAACUAUGAGCACAGCACAAGGAUGAGGGACUUUGAUUUGGGGGUGCAUGGUAACAGAAUUCAGAGUUCCUGGUGUCUUCUCUCUCUUUCUCUUAUUAGUUCUUGGACAUUGACCUCUGCAGCCACGACACAGUGUUCUCCAUUGCCUUUAACUCACAUGUCUCACAUCGCCUCAGCGUUAGCUUCUAAAACUAAUUUUUCUGUUUUCACAUGUGUGUAUGCAUGCAUGUUUUCAUUAAAUAUAGGCACAUAUGUAUGAUUGCAUGUGCACAUGCUUUAGCUGGUUUGGGGGCUCCCUUGACUCUGCCCUCUGAGGAUGGAUUUGCAAUCAGACAGUUACAGCUACACAGCACUCAUGUGAGUUCUGGGAUUCAUGCCCCAGUCCUCAACCUCUGAGCCAUCUUUCCAGGCCCUAAAAGCAUAAUUUUUAGUAAACAUAAUAUUUUUUUGCCAUUAUGUUCCCCUUCCACACUCCCUCUCCUUCAGCCUCUAAAUGGUCUCCUCUUGGCUUCAGGACCAUCUUCCGGGUUGCUCUUGCACAUAGGCAGGCAAGUCCUCCUGACCAAUUCUCUCUCUUAUCAUCCUGCAAUUCCCAGCCGGGACUUCCUCAUUUCACUUCCUAAACGUGUAUCCAGCCUGGGCAUCAUCCUCUUCCCCUGGGUCACCACAGCCAAGCCCUGAAGCAGCCUCCGAGGUAGCCCUGACCAAGGAAGAAUUUGACUCCCCAAAGGUUCAGGUAGAGGGGUGGAGAAGACGUCAUGGGCAGGCUGAUACCUUUCUCCAUGCAACAUCCUUGAAGGCUGGCACUGAGGCUGGAGAAGCCUGGUGCUGCUACAGGUUGAUACCCUUGUGUGCUGGUCCUCCAUGCUGGGCCAGAUGAGGUGCACCAGGAGCCAGAGAAGGGACAUGGGAAGAACUGUUCUGUUGUUAGCCAAGAGUUUACACUUCCGUAAUGUCCACUUAGUGGAUCUGAACUCCCACCUUGUGCUGGCUGUCUCUGUUGAAGGGCCUCUCUUUACCAUGUCCUGCAGCACAGACCUGUGGGUGGUAGACUUCUCAGCUGUAGUUUGCCAGAGAACGUCCAUUUUACUUACAGCACCUGAAAAUGUUGCACAUCCUCUCCCCAAUAUAAUCUGUGUGCCCCACAGACAUCAAGGACCACCCUCAGCUAAGUUUUUUUCUGAUUAUGUUUCAGCUGGGCUCUUCUUCUUUUAUCAACAACUUUGCUUUUAUCUAGACUUUCACGAGUUUUAGAGACAGUUUCUAAAACUUUUGCGUGUGAAAUAUUUAAUUUAAAACACUUUAUGAUUUGUUACCCAUUGCCUGUGUAAGUCUCUUUCUGAAUAUACAAUAAACAUAUGGUCGAAAAACAAAGUC
rnacentral:sRNA from 1 species